UGCUCAGGCUCACAAGGGCCUUGUCUGGGUGAGGCCUCCUCCUGCCCCACCCUGCCAUGGGCACCAGGCUCCUGUGCUGGGUGGCCCUUUGUCUCCUGGGAGUAGGUCAUGUGCGAGCCACGGUCACCCAGAGCCCAAGAUACCAGAUUACCAGGACGGGGCAACCAGUGACCUUGACUUGUUCUCAGGACCUGAGCCACGACACCAUGUACUGGUACCAACAGAAGCUGAGCCAAGCCCCAAAGCUGCUGCUCUACUACUAUGACCAGAUACUUAACAAAGAAACAGACACCUCGGACAACUUCCAGCCCAGCCGGGCUAACACUUCCUUCUGCUCGCUGGGCCUGCGAGCGCCGGGCUUGGGCGACUCCGCCCUGUACCUCUGUGCGAGCAGCAAAGGCACAGAGGGCGAGCGCUGCCUCCCCACCACUCACAAACCUGCUCCGGGCCCACGCACCCGCUCCAGACCUCACUGCCCUCCCACACAGCUGCCGUGGGAAAGGAUUGAACAAACCCACCACCUUUCAGUGUAG